AUGCACGCUGGCGGCGUGCCUAAUACCUGCAAGUCGCGCGAACAGACGAGGAGCUUGCUCCUCUGACGUUAGCGGCGGACGGGUGAGUAACACGUGGAUAACCUACCUAUAAGACUGGGAUAACUUCGGGAAACCGGAGCUAAUACCGGAUAAUAUAUUGAACCGCAUGGUUCAAUAGUGAAAGACGGUUUUGCUGUCACUUAUAGAUGGAUCCGCGCCGCAUUAGCUAGUUGGUAAGGUAACGGCUUACCAAGGCGACGAUGCGUAGCCGACCUGAGAGGGUGAUCGGCCACACUGGAACUGAGACACGGUCCAGACUCCUACGGGAGGCAGCAGUAGGGAAUCUUCCGCAAUGGGCGAAAGCUUGACGGAGCAACGCCGCGUGAGUGAUGAAGGUCUUCGGAUCGUAAAACUCUGUUAUUAGGGAAGAACAAAUGUGUAAGUAACUAUGCACGUCUUGACGGUACCUAAUCAGAAAGCCACGGCUAACUACGUG
rnacentral:rRNA from 1 species